UUUUUUUUUUUUUUUUUUUUCCGGCAACGAUAGAUGUUGUAUAACCUACUCUAGCCUAGUCUAAGGGAAGGGGCAGGGGGAUGGUCAACUAAGACCAGCCACAUAUUGUGGCCAAAUUGUGGGAGGCAGGGGAUGAUCCCCUAACCUCCAGCAUCAUCAUUAUAGUGAUGACCACUGAACCAAAUGACCAGUGGCACCCAACACCUCUUACUCGUCAUUACCAAUUUUAGAUCAUGCAUUUAGAAAUGCUUGGCAAAAUGAGAAAGCAGCCAAGGAGGUCAGCAAAUACGUGGUAUCAAACAAAAACUUUCUGCAAUGUCUUUUGCUCCUCAUGAUCACCAAGUGCACCCCCUUCGUUCAGUUCUAACGCAUAAAGUGAAACAAAAUAUACAUAGUGAGACGCUUAAAUUGAAGCAAAAAAAUACAGUAUUAGAGCAAGAAUGCAGGGUUUUUUUUUUUGGCAAAGGAAUUUACAAAAAGAGGCAGCAUUACUAACACUUGCCAAGCACAUCUGCUCCAUCAAAGGGUGAAAGGUUGAUGAAUUAAUAUGAUGUAUCCAGUGGUUAAGCCUUUAUGGUGAACAUUUAGAGAAGUGAAUGACAGUGGACGGUAAAAAUACAGCACUUAAACUGAGUACCUUAAUAAACUUGCUGUCCUAUCUGAACAAACGUCCUGCCACAGGGUACUACUCCACAAUGUUAGGAAAUACCAGCAGGAAGUGUUUCAGAUGGACAAAUUCAGAGAAGAGUAAUCUUACACACAGAUGAAAUGUAGCUACGUAAUUCAGGCAAGAGUUAAUGACACUAACAAUACGGUGUUUGUCUUGCUCAAAUUUCUUAAUUUGCAUGCCAUUUCAAAUCGACAGCCACCAACAGAGCAAAUUCUCAAUUACUUGAAGCAGUGUAAUGAACGAUCGAAAAAUGGAAAAUCAAAAGAAUAGUAUAUACACGAUCUGUUGACAGUACAAACUGGUAUCUCUGAAUUGCACAACAUAUUCUUAAGGUGCGGUUGGUACAGAACUAAAUCCAGAAUGCACACUAUAUUUUCCUAAAGAAAAAGGAAAAACAAAAAAUAGGGAACUCGUGGAAUCAAAAUAUCAAAAUCAGCUAUAUGGUAAUACAAAAUCUGUGAACCUAACUAAGUAUACCAAGCCUAUCGUGAUUUUCCAAACCCAAUAGCAGUCUUCCUUCUUCUUCGAGCAUCUAUUCUUUCAGGGCUUUGCAAUCCAGUUCUCCCCUCAUAUUUCUUUUCCAAGGCCUGUGCAAGUAGAAUUUAUAAUAUAAAAUCUAUUUCUGCCAUCCCAGGCUAGUUGAAGCUAAAAGGUUAAACAAGAAAAGAUAUCCACAUUCAACAAAUAUUCUGCAAAUAUUGGAAUAUGUAAUAAAUCUAUUGACUAUUCACCUGUAAAUCUGCACUGAUACUUUCAAGAACUUCGUCUGUCAUUCUAUCAAAGAAAAGUAUUCCCUGCAAAGCAGAAUGUAAUUUAGGAUAUAAACUAGAAAGAAGCAGAAAAUGAAGCUUAGUGUCCUUGCCUCCAUGGUCAAGGUAACCACCAUCUUUGAGUCAAACAAUACUCCUAAACUAGAUUAACCACUCAGUAUAUUUUGUUUGCAAUUGAAAACAGGCAUGCAAUGUGAAGACCAGAAUGGUAUUGCUGAUUGGCCCGUCAACAUGGGCAGUCAGUUGUAGUUUUUAAGCCAUAAACAAUGAGAAUUUGGUACAUUUCCAGGUCGCAAUUUCGUGGUCCAAGUUGUCCAAACAACAGUAAUGAGUAAGUUAACCAAAUUACAGGUUCAAAGCUCAUGACGGCAAUAAACUAAUGAACUACUGGGAUGCGAAAAGCUCAGCUUUUGUCACGAUUAUGAUGGAUAUCCAUCUCAUCUCAUCACAACUUCACAGAGUAUCAAUGGUGAACAUUUGGACAUAAUAUUUCAGGCUCUUUCUGAACCAAUUACAGGGACAUAUGCAAAAACAAGACUACCUGAAGAUGAUCAUAUUCAUGCUGAAACACCCUUGCAGGAAGUCCCGUCAAGUUAAAUGCAAAUCUUUUGCCACUAAUGUCCUGUGCAUCGAUUGUCACAGAGUCCGGUCUCUACACAAACAAAAAACAAUAAGAGCAAUUAAAAUCUCGUAGGAAAACACAAUUGCAUUAUUACCUUCAACAAACUUAAAUGAACACAUACCUCAACAUCAGCAUAAAUCCCCGGAAAGGACAAACAGCCCUCAUUAUAAGGAACAAUUUUCCUCGAAUAUCUACUAACUUUCGGAUUCACAAGAACAAUCUCCUCUCCUUCCCCACGUUCACCAACCGGAUUAAACACCAUAAGGUGAACAUUAAUUCCCACCUGGGGUGCUGAAAGCCCAAUCCCAUCAGUCCUAUUAACGAAAAAGGAAAACCAAUAACUAUUUUUACCGGUUCCUAAAAUCUCAACAAUUCAGAAAAGAACUCAAGAAACCCACUAAAACAGCAACAAAUUCAGAGAAUUUUCUGCUAAAAAAGUCAAAUUCUUUACCUAUACAUUAUGUCGAACAUCUCAUCUACUAACUUCUUCAAGUUAUGGUCAAACGUACUGAUCCUUUUAUUUUUUGCUCUCAAUAUCGGGUCUGGAUAUUCCACAAUUUUAAGGGGUGCCUCAAACUGCAAAUCCGCCACUGCUAACAACAGAAAUAAGCAUACAAUUUCGUGGGUAUAAGCUAGAAAUGCAUAAAAUUUAAGGGGAAAACUAGAAACAUGGAAAACAUGGCUCGAGUUGGGGAUGUUUACCAGAGGCAAAUUCGUCCUCUUUUACUUUGGAAGAAGAAGAGAAGCUUCGUCUGGCCUGAGCACGAACACCUGCUGCCAUUCCGGGAGGUUUAUGAGGGGAUGUCGAAGAAUAGUUGAAGGGAUUUGUCGGAGUGAAGCGGUGGAGACGGCGGAAAAUGGAGGGAGCAAUGGUGGCGGUGCCGGGAAGCUUCGACAGUAGAGCUUUAGAAAAUGGGGAAGAGUAGAGCCAGGUCGCUCCAGCCAUUGCAAAAACUAGCACGCCGGCCCAGAGUUGAUACUUAAAGGGAUAAUUUCAGAAACCUCCCCUGAGGUUUCUGACAUUUACACUGAUCUCCCCUGUAGUUUGAACAAUUACACUGAUCUCCCCUGAGGUUACUAAUCCUUUACAAAUUCAGUCCAAAUGAUUAAAAUAUUAUUUUAGAGAGUGAAAUUAGAAUUUUGUACCUGAUUUGUCCUUUGUGCUACAUGUCCAAUGAAUGGCAAAGUAUUACAAAUUAAUUAAUAAUUAAUAAACUUUAACGAGCGUAAUUUAUAGGCAAAUACGUAUUGCCUAUUUAAAGUACCAGAUCUUUACAUGUAUUUUACUUUCAAACAUUUACUUUAUCACAAAUAUUUAUUCUCAAAUACUAAUUUUUGUUAAACACAAAACCUACCAGUUUUUCUUCCGUAGAAAUAUUAAUAUAACACUUUUUCAAUUUUAGUUAUAAAUAUUUAUGUAUUUAACAUAAAUUAAAUGAUUCAGGAUAAAAUAUCCAUAAAGAGCCAAUACUUUACUCAUGUAAUGGAUGAAAGUCAUAAAAAAUUAAUAGUUUAUAAGGCCAUUUAUUUUUUAAAAAAUAUUUAAUUUAUAUUAAAUAGAUAACCUACUGAUAUUUUUUGCAAGAAUAUUACUUUAACACUUUUUAAUUUUUAAUUACAAAUGUUAAUAUAUUUAUCAUAAAUUAAAUAUUUGAAAACAAAAUAUCUGUAAAGAGCCAAUACUUUAAAUAGGAUAUGCGUAUUUGCCUAUAAAUUACACUAUUUAAAGUAAGGAGUAUAGUUUAUUGAUUUAAGUUAAGGAGUGUAGUUUAUUGAUUUAAGUAAGGAGUGUAGUUUAUAGGCAAACACACAUAACUUAUUUAAAAUACCAGCUCUUUACAGGUAUUUUAUUUUUAAAUAUUUAAUUUAUAAUAAAUAUAUCAAUAUUUGUAAUUAAAAAUUAAAAGGUGUUACAAUAAUAUUCUUGUAAAAAGAAAAUCGAUAGGUUAUCUAUUUAAUAUAAAUUAAAAUUAAAAAAAAGAAAUGGCCUAUAAAAUGUUAAUUUUUUAUGGCUUUCAUCUAUUACAUGAGUAAAGUAUUAGCUCUUUAUGAGUAUUUUAUUCUGAAUCAUUUAAUUUAUGUUAAAUACAUAAAUAUUUGUAAUUGAAAUUGAAAAAAUGUUAUAUUAAUAUUUCUACGGAAGAAAAACUGGUAAGUUUUGUAUUUAACAAAAAUUAAAUAUUUAAGAGUAAAUACAAAUCUGUAUUUGAGAAUAAAUAUUUGUGAUAAAGUAAAUGUUUGAAAAUAAAAUUCAUGUAAAGAGCUGGUACUUUAAAUAGGUAAUACGUAUUUGCCUAUAAACUACGCUCGUUAAAAUUUAUUAAUUGUUAAUUAAUUUAUAAUACUUUGUCAUUCAUUGGACAUGUGGCACAAAGGACAAAUCAGGUACAAAAUUCUAAUUUCACUCUCUAAAAUAAUAUUUUAAUCAUUUGGACUGAAUUUGUAAAGGAUUAGUAACCUCAGGGGAGGUUUCUGAAAUUAUCCCAUACUUAAAUCAUGGGACGAGAUUUUAUGUGUCCGCAUCGGGCAGCGAUUUUAUGUGGCUCCAUCUUGGUUGUUGAAUGUUGAUAUUAAAAUUUAAUUUUUUUCUUAUUCAUUUUUCUUUUUGAAAAUAAUUUGCUUUAAAAAUGAAGUUUAGGAUGUAUGAGUAUGUUUGGAAAGAUGUUGAUAUUAAAAUUUAAUUUUUUAUUCCUUUUUCUUUUGAAAAUAAUUUGCUUCAAAAAUGAAGUUUAGAAUGUAUGAGUGUCUUUGGAUAGAAGAUUAUUUGAUUAUUUUCUUUAAUUAUGCUCUUUGCUCGAGGUUUUUUUUUUUUUCACAGACUCCAAAAUUCAAAGAAUUUUAAAAAUAAAAUAAAAUCUCUCCAAAUUUAAUGCCUCAAGCAAAUUUUGUAUCUCACAUUGUGCAUAUAAUUAACUUUAAAGCUUUAUAUUGCGUGCCAGAAUUUUUAAUAAUUUAUAAAAUGAUAGAAAUACUAUUGUAGUUCAACCGGUCAACCCGAUGAACCGCCCAUGAAACCGGACUGGGUUUGUAAUUGAAUCGUUUAUGCAAGAAAUCCGUUGACUUUUCAACGAAUCUACGGAUUACUAUUUAAGUUUUGUUAAUUCUGAUAAGAAUUAAUAAUUCUAUAAUAAAUUGGACUAACUGAAUAUUUACUAUAACAUAGUUUAUUAUAGUUUCAACCAUAUCAAAAACUAUGAGACAUAAUAUUUAAGUAUAAUUAGUGACCCACCGGUUAGACUACUCACCCACUGGUUGAACCAGUAAUCCGUUGACCCACCUCUUUCACCAGAUUCCUUCCCGGACCAGGUUUAAUAACUAUAGUUUAACUACAAUUUAAUUUUAAUCACACAUGCAAAUUUGUUUGUAAUCAUUGGAGUUAUAUGUGCAGCUUACUCGUUUCAUACAACGUAUUCUUAAAUUUUAGUGAAGCUAAAACUUGAGACAUAUUCUUAAAUUGGUUUGUAGAGAAAGGAACCAAGAAAAAGGUGGAAAAUGGAACAAGUAUUAGACUAUGGGAAGACGAGUGGAUCCCAAGAAAUCAGGAAGGAAAGCCUACUACUUGUAGGCCUCUGAACUGCAGCCUACAAAAAGUGGAAGAUUUGAUUGUGAAUCAUAGGUGGAAUAGACCCCUGAUAUUCAGAACCUUCAACAAGGAUGCAGCAAACAUCUUGAAGAUACCUUUAAGCCUUGCUUUUUCCCCCCCUGAAAUGAUAUAAGAUUUUAUUAAUGACAAAAAGUAAAAUACACUUUGUGACCAGGGACUUGUAUUGAGCUAUACAAAAGUGUACUAAAACAAUGAGAAUCUAAGAAUUCCUUAUCAAGAACUAUGUUUUGAGCUAGUUUGCUCAACCUUUUACUUAAUCUAUUCUAUUCAAAAUAUGGUCAAAUGAGCAUUUUCUAAACAUUGAGUUAAAGUCUUUGAUGUCGUCCAGAUAUGUAGAAAUUCUAAUGUCACAUGAGGAUGGUUUUCCAAUUAGACUUAGGACUUGGAUGCAUGAUUUAUGGACUUUGACAAACUCCCACCCUUGUCCCUUCGUCUUACUCAAAGCCAGUUUAAUGGCCUACAAGUAGUCCAGGAUCAUCGAGCCAGUACUUCUUUCCCUCAAUUUUUCAAUUCCAUGCUGCUUGCAACUAGUUCAGGUUGUUUAUAGCAGAGAUCCCUAUCCCCAUGUUUUGACCUUCUUUGUGUUGUCCUACUUCCAUACCUAUUUCUAGUUAAUUUUCUUCUUGUACAGGCCUUUGUUCCUGUCUUAAAGUUGCUUCUGUUUCUGAAAUGCUCACUUGUGCUGGUCUGUGUUGAAUUUGACUGUAUUCCUCCCAAUCAUUUACUAUUUUUUGAAUUACUUCCAUUGGGUGCUUCUCUUUGUCUUUGAACUCCCUGUCAUUUCUAACCUUCCAUAUCUGCCACAGUAUGUCAACUGUCAAAGCUAUAUGUUCAAUGCCAUCCUUUCUGUUUCUAGCUUUCAUAAGCUUUGUCCACCAAUUCUUGAAUUUUCCUAUGUGCUCAGAUAAACCAUCCCAUUGGAGGGGGGGGGCAUCUUCCAUAUAUUUCCUGCCAUUCUGCAUUGAAAGAAAAGAUGUUCCAAUGUCUCAGCAUCCUUACCACAGUUUUUGCGAAUCAGUUCUUCUUUUCCAGUCCUUCUAAAGAUAGUUUCUCUAACUGGUAAGGCAUGAUUUAGACAUUUCCAGAUGAACAAUUAUUGUUUCUAUUUGAUUUUCAUUUUCCAUAGCUGUCUCCAAGCUCUUUCUUUCUCUCCUGCAAAGCUUGUCUCACCCUUAUUGUUGGCUCUUUUUUCCUCGUCUCUUUUCUCUGGUCAUUGCUUCAUAUGUUGAUCUAAUAGUAAAUUGCCCUUUAUUACUGUGGCUCCAAAAGUAGCUAUUUGGUUUUCUUGCUAGGCUUAUAGGUAUUUUAAGGAUUUUUCCAGCUUCAUUUGGGCCAAAAGUCCUAAGGAUUAGUGUUCUGUUCCAUUUGAAAUUUGAGAUCAGUUCAUCCACAUUGUUAAGCUUGCAACCUUGAGGCUUAGGAGAAUUUAACUUCCCCCCUUCCAAUCCUGUAUCCAUGCAUCUUUCCAGAUUCUUGUACUUUUUCCAUUUCCAAUUUUUUUUCUAAGCCCAUUAUUUACCUCUUCUCUGACUCCCAUUAAACUUUGCCAUUUCCAAGAUGAAUUACUCUUUGCUUUGCAACUCAGAGGUGAUUCUUUUGGCUAAUACUUUGCUUUUAUAACUUUAUUGACUAGAAGGUUUGGACAGGUUAGUAGUCUCCAUACCUAUUUUCCUAGCAAUGCUUUAUAAAAUCUUUGCAGCUCCUUGAACCCUAGCCCACCAUCAUCCUUCAUAGUUGUUUUUUUUUUUUUUCAGAAGCACCAGUGAAUUUUUCUUUUCCAUUCUCUUCUCCCCACCAUAAUUUUGACAUCAUUGCAUUUAUCUCUCUACAUAGUUUCAAUGGAAGUUUGAAACAUGACAUUGCAUACAUAGGUAUUGCUAUAGUGUGAUUUCUUUCACGAGAAUCUUUUUCCCUUCUUGGCUUAGCAUUUUGUUCCUCCAACUGUUAACAGUUUUCUGGUAGUUCUCUUUGAUGAAGCCAAAAACAUGUUCCUUAGUUCUUGUGAUAACUAUAGGCAAUCCCAAGUACUUCCGUUGUUUUAGCACUUGAAUGUUCCCCAAUCUUUUAUAGAUUUCUCUUUGCUUUUCCUGAUCCAUAUUCUUGCUGAAUAUCACUGAUAACCUGUCCAUGUUGAUCAUUUGACUUGAUCUUUAGGAUUCUGAUUACUUUUUCUGCUUGAUUGGUUUCUACCUUGCAAAAAAUCAAAGAGUCAUCAACAAAGAAAAGAUGGGUUAUUGAUGGACCAUUUCUGCUAAUUUUGAUUCCAGUCAGUUGUUUGUUCCUUCUGCCUGAGCCAAUAGGUUCGAGAAGCCUUCAGAGACUAGGAGAAACAAGUAAGGUGAUAAUGGGUCUCCUUGCCUAAUCCCUCUAGUGGGUAUGACAUAUCUUUUUGAUUCCCCAUUUAUGCUGAAAGAACAAGAAGCUGUUGAGAUGCAAGCCAUGAUCCAAUUAAUCGAUUUGUCACAAAAGCCCAUCUUUGUCAUGAUUGCUUUCAAAUACCUCCGUUCCACCUGUCAAAAGCUUUAGACAUAUCUAAUUUCAAAACCAUGAAACAUUGAGUUCCUUGCCUUUUGUUUUUGAUAUAGUGCAUGUACUCAUGAGACAGUAUAGCAUUAUCUAAAAUUUGUCUAACAGGCACAAAGGCUGCUUGAUUUUUACUAAUGCAAUUAUCUAAAACAUUUUUCAACCUAUUUGCAAGGAUUUUAGAAAUCCUGUAAAGAACAUUGCAUAGGCUUAUAGGUCUAAACUGUUUGACCUCUAUAGGGCUUUCAACCUUAGGGAUUAAAGAAAUUAUGGUAUGGUUUACAGCUCUCAACAUGAAGCUAGAGUGAAAGAAACUUCUGAUGGCUUUGAUAAUGUUAGGUUUAAUAAUGUGCCAAAAUUUCUAAAAAAACAUUGGUGCCAUUCCAUUAGGGCUAGGUGAUUUGUUUGGUUUCAUGCAAAAUAAAGCUUCUUGGAUUUCUUUAUCAUCUAUUGGCUUGGUAAGGUUAGUGUUCAUUUGGUUUGAGAUGGUGUGUGAUAUCCCUUCAAUAAUCACUACAAAAUGGUCCACUCUCUUACUAGUUGAAAAUUUUUUUGAAGUAGUUGUCCACCUCCUCCCCUAAUUAAUCUUCUAUGUUGGCUCAAGAUUUGUCCUCUCUUUGGAUUUUCUAUAGUUUGUUUCUUCUUCUUUUGCCCUUUCAUUGGAGUGGAAAAAAUGGGUGUUCUUAUCCCCUUCCUUCAGCCACUGAAUUCUUGAUUUUUAACUCCAGAAAAGUUCUUCCUUACUGUAAGCUUCUUAUAAUUGGAUCUUCAUCUCUUUCAUCCUUUCUUUUUUAUCCAAGCUAUCAGACAUUCUAAGUUCCUCCAACAGCUUUUUGGUUCUUUCUAUUCUUUGCCUUACAUUUUCUUGGAAGUUAUUUUUCCACUUUAGAAUAGCCACUGUGUAGUUUGCAAUCUUCCUAGUCAUUUUGUACAUGUGUAAGCCAUCCUGAUCCUCUUCCCAAACCCUUCUAAUUACCUGUUCAAUACCUUCCUUUUUGAACCAUCUUCUGUCAAACAAAAAUCUUGUUUUCCUCUUUUCAGCUUGGGGAUUGGAGUCUAGAAAAAUCAUACUAUGAUCAGAGCUAAAAUUCUUUAUGCGCCUAACUUUUGUUCUAUCAAACAUUUGGCUCCAAGCUCCAUUUCGAAAGGCCCUGUCUAGUUUUUGUUUAAUCUCCCUUUCUAUGACCAAUGAUUGCUCCAUGUCUAAGGAUUACCUUCAAACCCUAAAUCAAUCAGCUCAUUCUUAUUAAUGAAGUCAUUAAACUCUCUAAAACUUCCUUCUUCCCUUCUUCCAUCCCAUUUUUCCCUAUUCGAGGUGAUAUCAUUAAAGUCCCAUGCUAUAAUCUAUCUAGUAUCCUACAAUUCCUUCCUUCUUUCUAUAACUUUCCACUAGUUUCUCUUGGUUUGGUCAUUAGCGUUGACACAAAAACCAAUAAACCACCAAUCCAUGUUUUUGUCUGGAUCCAAGAUGUGUGCUUCUAUGGUAAAAGUAGUUGUUAGCACCUCCGUUACUUCAAGAUCAGCAUUCCACAUCACAAUCAUUUCCCCAACUUUAUUCAUAGAUUUUACUAUGACACUUUCCUCAUAUCUCAGCUAUCUCAUAACUUUUUCCAUAAAAGGUUGUCUAUUUUUUGUCUCACAAAGGAAAAUCAAGUUUGGGAAGAAAAGGUUGCAAGCCUGGCUCAGCUGGGGAAUUGUCAAGAGGCUUCCUACAUCUUGACAAUUCCACACCAGUUAUCUCAUUUGUCCUUUGGAGACCAGAAUGGGUUAGUCUCUACCCCUUCUCCUAUUUCUGCACAUUUUUCUUGAACUGUCUCCACUCUCACCCUUCUAUCUAUCAUCUCACCACCUCCACAUCCACCAUAACUUCAUCCACUAAUUGAAACUUCCUUUUUCCUGAAUUUUCCAUAGUGCUCAAUAUUCUGAAUUUCUUUUAGUGGCUAUCUGAGGAUGUUUGGUGAUUUUAGUUGCUUUUUGGUCCUUGUGGUUUUUUGGUUACUCUUUUCCACCGAGACACCUGCAUAUCCUCACCUUCCAUUUCCUUGUCACUUUGUCCUAAAGUCCUUUCUGUACCUUGGUCCUUGAGUAUCCCCAAACUUUUCCUCUCCGUAGCUUUUGUUUUCUGUUCCUCAUUUCCUUUUUGAUUAGUUCUGCUCUUGUUGGCCUCAUUCUCAAUUGUCUUUCCUUUAUCUAUCAUGGCUUUCUCUCCCUAUUUGCUUGAGGAACUUUAUCCUGGAAAUUUGAUUUCUGUCUCAUUUUUGCUUGUUUGUCUUGACUUCAUCAAUUCCCUUCCACAUGAUUUUGGAAUCAGUUCCUUAUCUUUGAAUCCCCAUUUUUGUUUGUUUAGAGAUUUAUGAGCAACAAUCUGUUUUCCCAUUUCUUUUUGGAGUGACCCUUUACCUCUUCCUACUCUAAGCCACGGACCAAAUUGAUUUUUCAGUUGACCUUUUUCUACUAGUACUGUUUCCUUAUAGUUUCGUUCAUUAUGUCCUAUUCUACCACACUUUUAGCAAAAAUUUGGACAUUUUUCAUGUUUAAAGCUUAUCCAUCUCAUCUUUCCUUCCAACUUAACAGUGGUACCUCUCAUUAGUGGUUGGGAGAUGUUUUCCAAAACCAGUAAUUUAAUAUGCCUACAUUCCUUUCCCCCUUCUUGAGGUAUUAUGGCCUCUUUGGUUUCAUGAAAACUGAGGCUAUUUUUUUGCACAUUUCCUUAGUUAUCCAAUGUACAGGAAGGUUCCAUACCUAAAUCCACAAUGGGCCAAUGUUGAAAUAUGCUUCCUUCUCCUCAAAACCUUCAAACCAUUGUCUUAACACCAAGAUCUGAUUGUCAAAAAUCCAUAGGCCUCCAUUUAAGAUUCUGUCUCUAUCUUUCUCAUUGGGGAUGAAAAAUUGGAAAAGAUUUGUACCUAAUUCCACCACCCUUAGUUCUUUUGGAUACCUCCAGGCAGUGGCGGAGCUAGGAAUUAACUUUGGGGAGGGGCGAGUGUUGACCUUGGUCGAUCAAUCCUUGGUUUUGAUGAUUAACAAACCAAAAUGUAGAUUUGGGCUAAUGUUUUUAUGUGAGUAAUUUGUUAGAACAGAUUCUUGUGGCAUAAAAGAAGAAGCAAAAAUAGGGCACUCAUGUCGGACGCUAUCGGACGUCCGAAAGGAUGAAAAACAUCAAGAAGGAAACUCUGUCGGACGCUCGUGAGGAAGCAUCGGACGUCCGGAAGGAUCGGACGCACGCCUCGAACGCACAUCGAUCGCAUCGGACGUCCGAGAAAUUUCGCAAAGAUUGGAUGACUCUCUGCCUACGUUCGGACGCAGGGUUCGGACGUCCGACAGGUGGUUCGGACGUCCGACAGGCACCUGUCGGACGUCCGACAGGCCAACGGCUAGUUUUGACAGCAAUUAAUAUUUGACCGUUGGAGAGUCUUAUGGAGCCAUUUCUCACCUUCUAUAAAAACCCCAAAGCACAAGAAGACUAGAGACUUUUGCCAACACAAAAUACAAGCUUACAAGUGAGAUUUUUGAGUAGAAAGAUUCUUUGUUGGUUGUAUAAGGGGUUGGAAAAGUUGGGUUGUGAGGUUGCUCAAGUGAAAACCUUGGUGAAGGUGAACCUAUCACUUGGAGUGGUAAAACCUUAGUGAAGGUUGCCUCAUUUGUAUAAAAUAGUUCUUAAUUGGGUGAGUGAUCUUUCAAGUGUAGGUUGUUGAGGGUUAACUAGAAUUGUUGUAAAACUCCUUGGCUCAAUCAAAGAGUGUUUGGGGUGAGAAAGGAGUGAACCUUCACUUGUACAUCUUGGUUAGCAUCGCCAUCAAUUGAAGAGGCUAUUGGAUUGAUAUUUGGUUUGCAUUUCUUAUCUUUUCUCUUUAAUUAAGUUUUCUUUAUUGUGCUUAAAUUUGAUAUAUCUUUGUGCAUCAUUGUGAAAUUGUUUGUAUUCAUUGGGUUGCACCAGGACUAACAAUUGGUAUCAGAGCUUGGUCUCUUUUGAUCAAGCUUAACCGCUUAGAGUAAAGAUCAUGGCAACCAUAAAAGUUUCUUUUUUAGAAGGGCAAUCUAUUGAUAGACCACCUAUGUUUAAUGGUUCUCAUUUUAGCAUGUGGAAACAAAGAAUGAUGAUUUUCUUACAAUCCGUUUAUAUUGAAUUAUGGUAUGUGGUAGAAGAUGGUCCUUAUGAAACUAGAAUAGUUGACUCCACCACCAAUUUGAGUAGAUUAAAGACUAGACAAGAAUUGAAUGAAAAAGACAAGAGAUACCUUUCUUUGAAUGCCAAGGCCAUGUGUAUAUUGUACAAUGCAUUAGAUGUAAAUGAAUCUAGUAGGAUUAAAGGUUGUAAAUCUGCUAAAGAUAUUUGGGAUAAAUUGUGUGUAUUUCAUGAAGGUAACCAAGAGUUUAAAGAACAAAAGAAAUCUUUGCUUGUUUCUCAAUAUGAAUUUUUCAAAAUGCAUCCUCUUGAAAAUGUUGAUAAGAUGUGUAGUAGAUUUUGUGACAUUAUUGAAGAUCUUAAAUUGCUUGGAAAAGAAUAUUCUUUGGGUGAGAAAAAUAGAAAGAUUUUGAAUGCCUUGCCAAAAGAAUGGGAAAACAAAAUAAAUGCUAUAGAAGAGGCAAAGAAUUUAAAUUCUAUGUCCAUUGAAUCUCUUGUGAAUUCCCUAACCUCUUAUGAAUUAAAACUGAAACUCAAAGUGCAAGAGGAAGAAAAUGCAAGAAUGUAUAUGAGAGGCAUAGCUUUUAAAGCAUCUCAAGUGGGGGAUAACCCAUCCUUCAUGGGUAAUGAAAUCGUGGAAGUGGACAAUGAUAUAACUCCUCACAUCAAAAGUUUCAAGAAGAUCUUCAACAAGAGAUGUUCAAGAGGAGAUUGCAAAGUUACAUGGGAUGAAUGCAAUUCAAAAAGAGAAAAAGAAGAGUUGGCCCAAAUAGCACUAAUGGCCGUUGGAGAAGAUGAGGUAAGUUCUUAUCACUCUUCUUGUGAUGAAGAUAAUGAAGAUGAUGAUGUGAAAAUUCUUAUGAUUAAAAUGCAUAAAAGUUUGAGAAAAUCUUAUGCUAAAAAUAAAGAUUUGAAAACAAAAAUAAAUGAUUUGUUGGAAGAAAACUCCAAACUUUUUCAAGAAAACAAAUGUUUGAGAAUGCAAAAUGAUGAUUUAAAAAAUCAAAAAGGUGUUUUUGAUUGCAAAAAUAAUUUGAAAAGGAAGUUAGAAGAGAAAACAAAGUUUUAUGAAAAAAUGUUGGAGGAACAAAAUGUGUUAAAGAAAAGAAUUAAUGACUUGAAUGAGUUUCUCCAAAAUGAAAAACAAAAGUUUUUUCAAACAAAAGAAAGCAAAUCUUUUCAAGGCACAAAUAAGUUUGUUAUGAUAAGAAGUAAGAAAAUUAGUUGCAUUAAAUCCACCUAUGUGCAAAAUACUUCUAUCAUGUGUCACUUUUGUUGCAAAUUUGGACAUAUGCAAAAUGAUUGCUAUGUAAAGAAAAAUAUGAGAAAAGGCAUGAAAUCCAUGUGGAUUGCUAGAUCAUGUCGUAUUAACUCCCAAGGACCCUAUAAAGAAAUGGUACCAAAUGAAAUUUCUCAUAUUUAGGCACAUCAUGAUGAUUUGAUCCAAGAAGUGCUAUAUGGUUGUAAGUACAAUUGAAAAUUUUGAUAUUCAAUAUGGUCUUGAUUUGAAAAAUAAAGGGGGAGUUUGUUUUUGAUUGAUGCCAAAAGGGGGAGUAGGAUUUAUUGAAAUUUCUUUGUAUGUUGAACUUAUUUGAUAAAAGAAAUCUUCAUUUUGUUUGUCAUCAUCAAAAAGGGGGAGAUUGUUGACCUUGGUCGAUCAAUCCUUGGUUUUGAUGAUUAACAAACCAAAAUGUAGAUUUGGGCUAAUGUUUUUAUGUGAGUAAUUUGUUAGAACAGAUUCUUGUGGCAUAAAAGAAGAAGCAAAAACAGGGCACUCAUGUCGGACGCUAUCGGACGUCCGAAAGGAUGAAGAACAUCAAGAAGGAAACUCUGUCGGACGCUCGUGAGGAAGCAUCGGACGUCCGGAAGGAUCGGACGCACGCCUCGGACGUCGCGAGAAAUUUCGCAAAGAUUUGAUGACUCUCUGCCUACGUUCGGACGCAGGGUUCGGACGUCCGACAGGUGGUUCGGACGUCCGACAGGCACCUGUCGGACGUCCGACAGGCCAACGGCUAGUUUUGACAGCAAUUAAUAUUUGACCGUUGGAGAGUCUUUUGGAGCCAUUUCUCACCUUCUAUAAAAACCCCAAAGCACAAGAAGACAAGGGACUUUUGCCAACACAAAAUACAAGCUUACAAGUGAGAUUUUUGAGUAGAAAGAUUCUUUGUUGGUUGUAUAAGGGGUUGGGAAAGUUGGGUUGUGAGGUUGCUCAAGUGAAAACCUUGGUGAAGGUGAACCUAUCACUUGGAGUGGUAAAACCUUGGUGAAGGUUGCCUCAUUUGUAUAAAAUAGUUCUUAAUUGGGUGAGUGAUCUUUCAAGUGUAGGUUGUUGAGGGUUAACUAGAAUAGUUGUAAAACUCCUUGGCUCAACCAAAGAGUGUUUGGGGUGAGGAAGGAGUGAACCUUCACUUGUACAUCUUGGUUAGCAUCGCCAUCAAUUGAAGAGGCUAUUGGAUUGAUAUUUGGUUUGCAUUUCUUAUCUUUUCUCUUUAAUUAAGUUUUCUUUAUUGUGCUUAAAUUUGAUAUAUUUUUGUGCAUCAUUGUGAAAUUGUUUGUACUCAUUGGGUUGCACCAGGACUAACAGCGAGUCUAUAGAAAUGAAAGUAAAAUAUAAUUACAAAAAAAAUAAUGUGAACAUAUAUACCACAAGAUUAGAAACAACCUUAUAUAAAAUGAAAAUUACUUAUACGCUUCACAUAUACAAAAAUAUCAUCAUAUUUACAAAUCUAUUUGACUGUGUGAGACAUAUAAAAUUGUGCACGAUGACUUUUAAUUUUAUCAAAGUCAUCAAUGAUUGAAUUUGUAUCAAAAGUUCUAGCAAUUUCUUUCUCAAUAUACAUUAUCAUAGAGUUGGCAAGAAAGUCUUCCUCCAUCCUAGAACGCAAACAAGUCUUGAUGAUUUUCAUAGCAGAAAAUGCACGCUCUGUUGUAGCUGUUGAAAUAGGAAGAGUCAAAAUAAGACGAAUCAAUCUAUCAAUAAGAGUAUAGCACAUUGACUUUCUUGUCUUUGCUAACACUUGGCACAACUCCUGAAGUGAUGACAAAUUUUGAAGCUGAGAAUUACAGGAAAACUCAAUCUGGAAAAGCUCUAAUUGAGUUCUUAAGUGUAACUUCUCUUGAUCUGUGAAGUCAGCUGAAUAAAUCUUUAGAGACCAAUGCAAGGUUGUUGGGAAAGAGACCAAUGCAAGUUAAUGGGAAUUUGAUCAAUGCAAAAGACUGGUUUCCCUAAUUCCCUUACAAAUUUCGGCAAUUCAGCCUGACUGAAAAGCCCGGCCAUCACCCAAGAAAGCCAACAGGAUCCUCAAAAUAAAAUUAGUAUGAAAAUUGGAAAAGGAAACCAGUCUCAGAAUCAACUAAAAUAAAUGCUUAUCACCCGAAUUCAGAAGGUCAAGUAUGAAAAACAAUACAAGUCCCCCUCGAGCAAUUCAUCAAACAACUGACGGGCGAACUUUUUACACCCACAUUUCACUAAAUAAAUGCAAUGUCAAACUAACCUGGUAAAUGGUAAUAGCUGCAAUAGUCUGAAAUGGUAUUGAUGAUUAGUGUUAGUUUAUCUGGCAUUGCAACUUACAGGUCAAUUUAAGCAACCAAUGUCUAAUUCAUUAACCUGCUCUGAUGAUACAAUAAUAUGAAACAACCCCCUUUACUUCCUGAAAAAAAAAAGACACGUUCAGCAAAUGCUAAAAGAAAAAUUACCUAGACAAUGCAAAAUGCAAUGGUACAAUCCUUAGCCAUGUGCGGGGGAAGGUCUUCACAGGAGAAAGUUCUUCAAGCCUUUAAUGGUCUCUACUCGAUGAGAUUAUGAGAAGCCAUGACUUUGUGAGCUCACAAGGAUCAAUUCCAGUAAUUAAUGAUGUAUCGUUUGAGCAGAUUUGAUACAUCUUUGCAGAACAAGGUGAGAAGAUUUUGACGUUUCUACUUUCUACGAAGAACUGUAGCAGAGUCAAUUGCCAGGUUAACUGGCUAUCUUUUCUUUGCACUUGUAUGAAGUCCGUUAAGAAAAGUGGCAAUUCUCUGUUAUUUGGACCAAGUCCAAAUAACUUUCAAAUAUUAUUGUUUGGGCUCUUGGGGGGCAAAGUGGAUUUUUUUGAUCAAUUUUUUUGGGGGGGGGGAGAGGGGAAACAUAAUAAUAAAAAUUUUUUUACUUAGAAAUUUUUUUUUAACAAUUGGAGGGGGCCGGUUGACCCCCUGGCCCCCCCUUCCCUCCGCCCCUGUCUCCAAGCUAAGGUGACGAAAUUUUUUACCCCAACAAAGUUGAUAAUCUUCUCUCUUUUUAUUCUUUCUACCAACCUUUCCCCACAAUCUUAACACUAGGUCCAACAUCUCCUAGAUCAAUUUCUGUUUCGUUCAUAUCCUUACUAGAUAGAGCAAAUUUUUGCAAGAUUUUUGUAAUUUCAUCGGCCAUAGAGGAAUUUUUGCAAGAUUUUUGUAAUUUCAUUGGCCAUUGCUCAUCUUUAGUGAUUCUUUAGGAUUGUCACACACCAGAUUUUACCAGAAAAGUUCAAGACAAGAUGGCUCAAUGUUUAAAAAAGGAAAACUUGGUUGUUCUCUAAUCUACUCUGGUUGAAAGCUACCACUGAGGAACCUCAACAGUAGAAAAGGCUAUAAAGAUUAAGAAGUGACAGGGUGUCGAAGCCUGUACAAUAAUAAAAUUAAACCUAAUUGCCAGUUGAAAUGACCAAAACCCAAUUCCAAGUACUGGAGCAGGGACUCUAGGUGUGCAAUGGGUUACUUGAUUCACCCUAUUCCCGAAGAGUUUGCUUGAUCCGAUAUACCCGAAUGGAAUGGUUAUUUCUUUUCACAAAUAAUUAUGAAUUUGUAGACAGGGCAAGUAGGGUUGUAUCCACAGGGAUUGGGUAUAUUCGUUUCUUAAGAAAUCCAAAGUAAUACAGGGGGUGAUUUUGCAGGAACGAUGACAAUUAAAUAAAACCAAAUAAGAAAAUAAGAAUAAAUAGCUAACUAGAAUUUAAACCACAGUUCACUGAACUUGGAGUAACAAUAAUUAAAGACUUAAAUCAAUUAGAACAAGGAAACAAUUAAAAAUGAAAUAAAGUAGGCAACUAAAAAUCAAUUGGCACUUCACUAAAAUCAAGGUAAUAUUAACUAAAGAUCUAGCCAAGAAGUAACUUCAGCAAUGGUUCACCUAAUUGAUCAUUGAAAUAAAGGCAUGAUCAUUGAAAUAAAGGCAAUUCCGAUUAUUUAUCAAUAAAUAGGUUAUAACUACCAACCAGGGGAUGAUAGCCAACCCCUCCUUACUGUGUCGAUGAUCAAGGUAUGCUCGUUAAUCACUGCUCUAAUUAGGAAAUAAUCUUAGGUACGCCCGUAAGAUUUAAUUCCCCAAUUACCUUACGUAUUAGAGGAGCCCUAUUCUAACCAAAUAACGCACUACCAGGGUUAUUUCAGAUUAGCCCGCGUAUCCCCCUGACACGAAUCUAAUCGUGUCAGUUGUCACUAUUUUGAGGUAAGUAAAUAAUUACGGAUUUAAUACCCCAAUUGACAAUAGAUUACCCAAUCAAUUAAUUAUCCGGAUCCAAGACAACCAAUUAAUUAAACAACCGUAAGCAUAGCAACCAAGGAAUAUGCGGAUACCAAUGAAUAAAAGAAAAAGAUUGAAUUAAAUCGAUCUCACAAUUUGGAGGCGAACCAGAGCCUUCGUUGCUCCUUGACUAGAAGGAAGGAAAUUAGUUCAUAUUUGAUGAACUAAGUCCACGGGAAAUUGAAGAUAAAGCUGCGGCCAUUGUCAUUGAUUUUUGAGAACUCAAUCCGUUCCAACCAGGAGGAGAUAGCAAAGUUACACGAAAUGAUCCUCUGCCUCACUACGGACGGCAUACCAGGAAAGAUAGAAAAACUCUAAGCAUUUAACACGAAGAAAAGUCAAAAGCUACCAAUUUCUAAUGCCUGCCAUGCGUAUGACAAGCGAAAAGCAUUUUUAGAGAAAAGUCAACAAUCUCAAGCUAAGCUACAGACGGAAAACUAAAACUAAGCUCGCCCCCAUCUGAUCCUGUUUUCCCUCCUUUAUUGCGGCGGCUCACCAGGAGGAAGAAGCCCUCCAGGGUGUCCUCCCCUUGUGGAAAUUACCAAAGUGGGCGUGACAUCUUCUUUCUCAAAAAUGCCCCUGGGACAAGCUCUAUCAUCUGAAUUCUUUUUUUUUUCAAAUUGGUACCUGUUAUCAUAUUUUUCGUUCUACUCCCUGAAAUAAAUGCAAAUUACGAAAAGUGAGUAGAAUCUACUAAUUAAUCCACAUCCGGUUAGGUAAUAGGGAAAAUUAAUAAUAAAAUAAAUAAUAAAAUUGCUACCUAUCAAGAAGCAAAGAACAAAGGAAACAGAAGGGGCCAAGAAAAGCUGGAAUCAGAAAUAACUUUCUACCAAUUCCAAUGUUUCUAAAGGAAAAACAAGCACUUUUAGCUAUCUUUUCUUUUUCCCCUUUUUUUUUGAAGUACUCAAGAAAAAACUUGAAGAAAAAAGUAUCACCAAAAGGCAGGAUCUAUCGGGUAAAAAGCUUUGAAAUAUCUAUCCAAGCUGAAGUCACGAUAGAAACAAGAAAGUGGGAUUCCUUGCUAGGUUGUUCCAUUCUCUACCGGCCAAUCAUAACUCACGUGGGAGAAUCUUUGUCUUUGUCUUUAAUACCACCAUUUAAUGUUGUCGAACAAUGCACUUCGAUAUAUUUAAGUUGGAUUUGUUUUGAAUUUUCAAUGUUGUUCAUUGCUCUGGAAGCUUGCGAGAUUUCAGAAUGGGCCUUCACCUCCCAAAAAAAGGAUCCGGGGCUGGAACGGUUGUCAGAGCAACCAUUCCGGAAGGUGUAACACCAUUUGCAUAAGGUGUAACAAUAGAACAACAGCGAGUAACACUAGAACAACAUUUUUGUGGGUUCCACACGGCGUGAAAAUCGAGUUACAAGGAAUGAUCUGAGCUGUACAAAUUUUUUUGGUCUAAUCAUGGCUCUGAACCUUCCGGAAUGUUUGUCUCUGACAACCGUUCCAGCCCCUCCUCCCCAAAAGAAGGAGACAAAACACAAUUCCCAAGAAAGAGAAAAUUUUGAAACUCUCACAUGGGUUAGAGACCUACUUGGCUAAGUCCAUUUAUAUAAGCCUUGUAGGAAGAAAGGACUAUACUUUUUGGAUAUUGAGUGAGAGCUGCCAAUACACAAUGAGAUCAGCAUACAAGGAACUUAGCAAGAAAGUAGUUAUGGAGCUAAGAUUUUGUUUUCCCACACACCGAGGGAGGGGGAGGGGUAAUUUUUCCUAACAAAAUUAUCUUCAUAUGUUGUGUUCAAAAUAAUUUUCAUCUAUUUAAAUAUAUGAUAUCUAAAAACAUCAAAUAUUAAUUUUAAUUAUAAAGGUAUGUUUAUUUCAUAAAUAUAUAGUAUAAUUAUAACGAAAAUUAAGAUAAGAAAUAUCUUUUGAUUAAAUAUCUUAUAAUAUCACAAACCAGCCAAGUUGCAUAUUAUGAGAAGAUGCUCUUAUAUAUAUAUAUAUAUAUAUAUAACUAUGCAAUAUAUAUAUAUAUAUAACUAUGCAAUAUAAAUAUAACUAUUUUCAAUUAAAAAAAAAGAUAAAAGUUAUGUUAACAUACUUUGAAAUUUUAACCCCUUUUUUCAAAAGUAAAUUGAACUUUAUAUUCUUCCAUAGAACUAAAUUCAUAUAUGAUUGAAUCAGUGCUAAAUUUUUCAAUAAAUUCAUUUUCUAUGUACACAGUUAGGCAAUCAUUCAAGAAAUUAUCUUUCAUCUUGUUUCGAAACUUUGUUUUGAUUAUCUUCAUAAUUAAAAAUGCCAUUCUAUAGUUGCAGUUCAUACAGGAAGAGGAAGAAUAAGUCUAAUCAAUUGGAUUGAUUUGUAUAUUUGUAUAUGAGUCAAUAAAGUAAUUAUUUUUAUUUUAACCCAUUAAUAAUUAUGAAUUGGAUUUUUUAAAUAUAAUAUGUCAAAUUGGGUCAAUUUACUAUGGAUUAUCAAAUUAUACGUUUAAUUUUUUGAAAGUUAAAUAAUUAGCACAAUAAAAAAUAAAUAACUUUUUUUGAACUAAAAAAUUAAUUCAAAAGUGGCAAUUGAUAUAUAUAUAUAUACACACACACACACAUAUAAUCUCAUAAUAUAAACUAAAAUUGCAAAGAAUUCGAGGGAACCAACUUUAGUUCACACAAAUAUUUAUACACUAUGAAUUAAAAUUUUCAAAACUUAGAGGGGUCAUUAGGGGUGGGCAAAAUUAUCCGCUAACCCGAAAAUCCGUCAUAUCCGAUCCGAUCCGAAAAUUAGGAUGUCCGAUUUUAUUAUUUGAUCGGGUCAAAAGAGGGUCGGGUAUCCGCUAAGAUGCGGAGCGGGUUAGGGUCACAUAAUUAAAAAUCCGCGGGUACCCGAUCCGCCCCGCAGAUAUAUAUAUUUUAUUAUUAUUAUUUUUUAUUUUUAUACACACUAUAAAAUAAUAAAUUAGAACUAAAUAAGUAAUUUUAUUGAACAAAUUGCAUUACAAAUAUGAGAGACUAUAGUUUAUUUACAAGAUUCAUUUGUAAAGACCAUGAUCUUAUAUUUUAUAGAAAAAAGUUUAAUUAAUGUGGAACAUAUAUAUUAAAAAUUGUGUUACUUAUUUCAAACUUUUAUUGAUUUUGAAUUCUUUUAAUUUUUUUUCCAUUAUCUUAUAUUCUCUUCAUAUGCUUGUUUCUUAGUGGGAAACCUUUUUUUAGAAAAAAAAUUAUUAAAUCUUAGAUGAAUGUGUAAAAUAUAAAAUUAAAUUGGUAUAAAUCAUUUUUUUAAAAAAAUUAAAUGAUAAACGAGGCGAGACGAGUACCCGUUGAGAUAGAGUACCCGAUACGGGUAAAGGUCAAAAAAUGGCUGACCUACAAGGUGCGGGUCGGAUCAGCCAAAUGAUAAAUGGGACGGGUACCCGACCCGCGCCCACCCCUAGGGGUCAUGACCCCUUCAACGCCCUUGGCUCCGUCAUUGCAAGAAAGGAAGGAGUCUGGUAGGAGGUAGAAACCGGGAAGAAGGACCAAGUUUGCAUGGAAGCAAUGAACAAAUGUGGAAACACUAGCGGGAAUUGAACAUCAAGAGCAAACUGAAGCUGUUCAUAUGGAAAUGCUGUUGGAAAAUUGGCUAUAUUCAUUGUAGAGUAAAUGAGAAAAUUGAUUGUAGAGUGAAUGAGAAAAUUGUUCUCAUAAUGGCACUCUUGAAAGAAUUCAGGAUAAUUAUCUUUCAUUCAUGUAUAUUAAUUAUUGAUACAUGAUUUCGGAUAGGAUUCAUGUGUAUUAAUUAUUGAUACAUGAUUUUGGAUAGGAUUCCUUUGGGGUUAUCUUAUUGAGAUACAUGUAUGUACAUGAAUGUGGUCCUUUGAUAAACGUGAAGAUAAUUAUCUGGAAUUUAACUCUUGUUGCCAAUUUCGAACAGUCACCCUAGGCUAGCAUCUAUAAAUAUCUCCUGUUGUUUCAAAAGCAAGUGCGCUCUCUCUCUCUCCUUUUCCUUCUUGCAUCUUCAUAUUUUAUAGUGUUCCAUAUUGCUCUAGUUCGAGUUCGUUGUGGUGAAUAAAGUUUGGUGCUGACAUAUUCACCUUUAAUCCGUUGUAUCCUGGGAGACAGACGCCUACUCAACCUUGAGCACUCUACCUGGAGGGGGCGAAUUGUUUUAAGGAAAUUGUGCUCACAAGCCUCGGAUUGUUACUAUUGUUAUUUUUCUAUCUUUACUUUCUUUCUAGGUUGUAUUUAUUCUUCUCUUUUGUAUCAGCCUACUUUAUUAUUUCACUAACAGUCUUAAAACAGAUUCGUUCUCAAUGGCUGACAAUACAGGAAGAGAAACCAACACAUCUACUGUUGAUGCCUCUGCCUCUGGCACAAUUGUGAAACAACCUGAAGGAAAGAUUACUCCUAUGGUUUCUACCAACCAUAGUGAGAAACCUGAGAAGUUCCAUGGCCUAAACUUCAAGACAUGGCAACAAAAGAUGUUGUUCUAUUUGACAACAUUGAAUCUCUCGAGAUUCUUAAGUGAGGAUGCUCCAAAGCUGCCUGAAGGCUUAACUGAUGCACAAGCUGUCAAUGCUAUUGAUGCUUGGAAGCACUCCGACUUCCUUUGUCGAAAUUAUGUCAUGAACUGCUUGCAUGACUCGCUGUAUAACGUGUAUCAAAUACACAAGACGGCGAAGGCACUGUGGGAAUCCUUAGAUCGGAAAUAUAAAAUCGAAGAUGCCGGAGCAAAGAAAUUUGUCGUUGGAAAAUUUCUAGACUAUAAAAUGGUGGAUUCCAAAACUGUUAUCAGUCAAGUGCAAGAAAUUCAGAUUAUCUUGCAUGAGAUUCUAGCUGAAGGCAUGAUUUUGAGUGAAACCUUUCAAGUAGCUGCUGUUAUUGAGAAGCUACCUCCUGGAUGGAAGGAUUUCAAGAACUAUCUCAAGCACAAGCGCAAAGAGAUGAGUAUGGAGGACCUUAUCGUUAGACUUCGAAUUGAAGAAGACAACAGGGGUUCUGAUUGCAAGGCAACAACUUUUGUUGAUGCUAAAGCAAAUAUUGUGGAGUAUAAGCAAGGGCAAAACUCCAAAGGCAAAAAGGCAACUCGAAAUCUUGGGGCAAAAGGGAAAAUCUCUUAGAAAUUCCAAGGUAAGUGCUUCAAUUGUGACAAAAAAGGUCACAAGUCCACUGAAUGUAAGCUUCCAAAGAAGAAGAAGCAUGAAACAAAUUUGCUUGAUGGAAUCGAGGGAGACAUGGAAAACAUGAACCUAACUGCUAUGGUUUCUGAAGUAAAUAUGAUAGGGUCAAAUCCGAAAGAAUGGUGGAUUGACACUGGAGCUACAAGACAUGUUUGCACAAACAAAGACUUGUUUACUACCUUCGAAAAAAUUGAAGGAGAAAAAAUGUUCAUGGGGAACUCUGCCUCAUCUGCUAUUGAAGGUCAAGGGAAGGUGUUACUAAAGAUGACUUCUGGCAAAACAUUGACUUUGAACGAAGUUCUGUAUGUGCCAGAAAUCCGCAAGAACCUUGUUUCUGGAUCGUUGCUGAACAAGCAUGGCUUUCGCAUGGUUUUUGAAUCGGAUAAAGUUAUAUUAUCCAAAUCUGGGAUGUAUGUAGGGAAAGGAUAUACAACCGAUGGGUUGUUCAAAUUGAAUGUAAUGACUAUUGUGAAUAAUAAGAAUAAGUCUUCUGCUUAUUUGCUUGAGUCUUCCAAUUUAUGGCAUGGUAGACUAGGUCAUGUUAAUUAUGAUGCUUUGCGUAGACUAAUUAACUUGGAUCAUAUUCCUUCCUUUCACAUCAAUUCAAAACAUAAAUGCGAGAUUUGCGUAGAAACAAAAUUAACAAGGUCAUCUUUUCAAACAAUUGAAAGAAACACCGAACCCCUUGAAUUGAUUCACACAGAUGUCUGUGAUUUGAAAUUUGUUCAAACAAGAGGUGGUAAUAAAUAUUUUAUCACUUUCAUUGAUGAUUGUACAAAAUACUGUUAUGUGUAUUUGCUCAAAAGUAAAGAUGAAGCCUUGGAAAAAUUCAUUCUCUACAAGAAUGAAGUUGAAAAUCAACUUAACCGGAGAGUUAAAAGGUUAAGAAGUGAUAGAGGUGGUGAAUAUGAAACACCUAUUGGUGAUUAUUGUGCAAAAUAUGAAAUUGUUCAUGAAGUAACUGCACCUUACUCACCACAAUCGAAUGGUGUUGCUGAACGGAAAAAUCGCACAUUAAAGGAAAUGAUGAAUGCGAUGUUACUAAGUUCAGGAUUGCCUCAAAAUAUGUGGGGUGAAGCUAUUUUGUCAAGCAAUUAACUUUUAAAUAGGGUACCCCGGAAAAAAACAAGAUAAAACUCCUUAUGAGUUAUGGAAAGGUAGGAGACCAUCCUACAAAUACUUGAAAGUGUGGGGGUGUCUUGCAAAAGUGGCUAUUCCAGCACCAAAGAGAAUAAAGAUAGGUCCUAGAACUGUGGACUGUAUCUUUAUAGGCUAUGCACAUAAUAGUACUGCUUAUCGAUUUCUUGUGUAUAAUUCAGAAAUUUCGGAUAUACACAAAAAUACGAUAAUGGAAUCAAGGAAUGCUUCAUUCUUUGAAGAUGUGUUUCCUUGUAAAUUGAUUGGUGCAUCAAGUUCAUCAAAACGAACACAUGGAGUUAUGAAUCAAGAAAAACAUGAUCAUGACUUGUUUCAACAAGAUGAACCGAGACGUAGCAAAAGGGCUAGAGUGGAAAAAUCAUUUGGAGAUGAUUUUACAACUUUUCUAUUAGAAAAGGAACCACAAACCUAUACAGAAGCUGUAAGUUCUUCUGAAGGAUUUUUGUGGAAAGAAGCAAUAAAAAGUGAGGUUGAUUCUAUUUUACAGAAUCAUACAUGGGAGUUAGUGGAUCUUCCUCCUGGUUGUAGACCUUUAGGGUCCAAAUGGAUCUUUAAAAGGAAAAUGAAACCUGAUGGCUCUGUCGAUAAGUACAAAGCCAGACUUGUAAUCAAAGGAUACAAGCAACAAGAAGGUUUGGAUUAUUUUGAUACUUAUUCUCCUGUUACGAGAAUAAAUUCUAUCAGAAUGAUACUUGCUAUCGCUGCAUUGAGAAAUCUGGAGAUACAUCAAAUGGAUGUAAAGACGGCCUUCUUAAAUGGUGAUUUAGAUGAAGAAAUCUACAUGGAGCAACCUGAGGGUUUCAUAACUCCGGGAGCAAGAAAUAAAGUUUGUAAAUUAGUCAAAUCAUUGUAUGGACUAAAACAAGCGCCAAAGAAAUGGCAUGAAAAGUUCGACAAUGCAAUGAUAACUAAUGGAUACAGAAUAAAUGAGUGUGACAAAUGUGUCUACACUAAAGAAACAGAACAUGGCUAUGUCAUCUUAUGUCUUUAUGUAGAUGACAUACUUAUUGUUGGUAGUAAUGAUAAAAUGGUUAAGUCUACCAAGGACAUGUUGAAUUCAAAAUUUGACAUGAAAGAUAUGGGGCUUGCUGAUGUAAUUUUAGGAGUUAAAAUUACAAGAAUAUCAGACGGGUUGGUCUUGAGCCAAACUCAUUAUGUGGACAAGAUUCUGGAAAAAUUCAAUACGAAUGAUUCUGGAAUUGCAAGAACUCCAUUAGACAAUAGUUUCCAUCUAUCUAAGAAUAGAGGAGAGAAUAUUUCUCAAGUAGAAUACUCAAGAAUCAUUGGAAGUCUAAUGUAUUUAAUGAGUUGUACUAGACCUGACAUUGCAUAUGCAGUAAGCAAAUUGAGCAGAUUUACAAGCAAUCCGAGUGCUGAUCAUUGGAAAGCAAUUUUAAGGGUACUUAAAUACCUACGGUACACUCGGAACUAUGGACUGCAUUACACUAGAUACCCUGCUGUUUUAGAAGGGUAUGCAGAUGCAAAUUGGAUAUCUGAUAUAAAGGAUUCAAAAUCCACAAGUGGAUAUGUGUUCACACUUGCCAGUGGGGCAGUAUCUUGGAAGUCUUCUAAACAAACUAUUGUAGCUAGAUCUACAAUGGAAUCUGAGUUCAUUGCCUUGGACAAAUGUGGAGAAGAAGCUGAAUGGCUCCACCAUUUCCUUGAAGACAUUCCAAAAUGGGAGAAACCUGUGCCACCAAUUUGUAUUCACUGUGAUAGUCAAUCAGCAAUUGGAAGAGCACAGAAUAACAUAUAUAAUGGUAAGUCUAGACAUAUACGUCGUAGGCAUAAUACCAUUAGACAACUACUCUCAACAGGAGUUAUCUCUAUUGAUUAUGUGAAAUCAAAGGAUAACAUAGCGGAUCCGCUAACUAAAGGAUUGAAUAGAGAGUUGGUUGCAAAAAUGGCAAAGGGAAUGGGACUAAAGCCCAUGGAAGGCUAAGUGUUAUAAAGGAAACCCAACCUAGCUGACUGGAGAUCCCAAGAUCUAGGUUCAAAGGGACAACCUAAUUAUAAGGACUUAGCGUAGUCAUUGUGGGGGGAUACCCCUAAACCCAUUCCGUAAUGAAACAAUGACGCAAAGGAGAAUUAAGAAUAGCACAAUGUGUGCUUUAAUGAUUCUUAAGUGAAGUAAUUUAUUACUGAAGACUUAAGUAAAUCACCUAUGUGAGAGUGAAGUGGGGCCGCUUCAAAAGAGAAUUGUUUAGGGCUCAAUUCUUAAAAACUCUUGCUGAACCAGGUUGAUGUUCAUGGCCAAAACGAACAUAACUAUGAGAACUGAACUAAUGGAGCAUGAUUCCUGUGUGAAAUAUAUGGUUCAUUUACACUAAAAAGCGAGACAGUUCAAAGACAUCAUGUCUACUGGAUUGCUAGUAAAGUAAGUGUAUUUCACAAGAGAGGGUUCAAUGGGUAACACCAACCUAUCUUAUGCAGGUUUCAGUCGUGGAACACUACUGUCGAGUCAAAUCAAAACAAUUUUUCAUUCAUGUGGGGGAUUGUUGGAAAAUUGGCUAUAUUCAUUGUAGAGUGAAUGAGAAAAUUGAUUGUAGAGUGAAUGAGAAAAUUGUUCUCAUAAUGGCACUCUUGAAAGAAUUCAGGAUAAUUAUCUUUCAUUCAUGUAUAUUAAUUAUUGAUACAUGAUUUCGGAUAGGAUUCAUGUGUAUUAAUUAUUGAUACAUGAUUUUGGAUAGGAUUCCUUUGGGGUUAUCUUAUUGAGAUACAUGUAUGUACAUGAAUGUGGUCCUUUGAUAAACGUGAAGAUAAUUAUCUGGAAUUUAACUCUUGUUGCCAAUUUCGAACAGUCACCCUAGGCUAGCAUCUAUAAAUAUCUCCUGUUGUUUCAAAAGCAAGUGCGCUCUCUCUCUCUCCUUUUCCUUCUUGCAUCUUCAUAUUUUAUAGUGUUCCAUAUUGCUCUAGUUCGAGUUCGUUGUGGUGAAUAAAGUUUGGUGCUGACAUAUUCACCUUUAAUCCGUUGUAUCCUGGGAGACAGACGCCUACUCAACCUCGAGCACUCUACCUGGAGGGGGCGAAUCUGUUUUAAGGAAAUUGUGCUCACAAGCCUCGGAUUGUUACUAUUGUUAUUUUUCUAUCUUUACUUUCUUUCUAGGUUGUAUUUAUUCUUCUCUUUUGUAUCAGCCUACUUUAUUAUUUCACUAACAAAUGCAUCGAUAAUCCACUUCCAGUGAAUAACUUAAUCUUCUCCAGAACCAAGAAGGGAGAACCUAUUUGUACUGUUCUUUUUCUGCAAAUUUGCACGAGUGUGGAGACUAGCCCCACUACAAUCGGAUGGAAUAAAUGAUCAGCAGGGGAACUUUAUGAGAUGGUGUAAUGCACUGCUGGAGGCAAGGAAGAGAAUGGAUGGAGCAGAACAUAUAGUACUAACGGUUAACUUACUGUGGCGGAUGUGGAAAGCAAGGAAUGAUAAGAGUGUUUAAACCGCACCAUACACAUCCUGUCAAAGUUGUCCAGAAGGCACAAGGGGAAUGGGGGGAAUAUACUGAAGUAAUGGAAAGGAGGAUACGAAUGAGCAUACCAGAAACAGCAAGAGAAGAGGAUGAAGAUCAAAUCAAUAAUGAAGAAGGCAAUUCCAUUAAUAUCUGCUUGCAGUCAGUGAUCAGAAGGAGGGACAGGUUUUGGGAAUUGCCAUUGUGGUAGCAGAUGCAAUCAAUACACUGCUAGCUAGCUGGGCCUUAAAGGAAAGGAGCACAGGGCAUAAUCUGCUAGAUUAUACUGAAGCCCUAAGAUUAACUUUAAGCAAAGCAAGUGAGCAUAACUGGAGGAGGAUUAAAGUUCAAGCGUCUUCGCCAAAGCUGCGGAAGCUAUUGAGGACCAAGAAAGCAAAGGACACAAGAUAAUGUGCACAGAUGGAAUAUAUCCAUAGUCUAAGCCAGUUGUUUUUGGAGUGGUCAUUUGGUCUAUCAACUAACGAAAAUAGAAGUAGAAGUAGUAUGAUUAGUAACCAUGCACUAAGCGUUAUCCAAGAUAAGGAAUGGUGGAAUCCUCGGUGUUUUUGAACACUUUUGUAUAGUUCAAUACUAGUCUUUGCUCAACCAUUGUAAAAUUACAAAGUCAGAAAUAAACUUCACGUCUAAUUUCUCAGAAAAAAAAUAAAACUUGAGGAGUAUGGCUAACUCUAAAAUUAGGAAAAGGAAAUCCAACGGUAGUGCAAGCACAAGAUAUACAAGAAUAUAAAAUAUACAUUUUUUUUACUAUGAAAUAUACAAUCUAACAGUUUUUGAAUGGAUUAAUUUUAUAUACAUUCUCAGUACGUAUAUAUACCAUGAGAAAUGAAAGGAAAAUGAGAAAAGAAAAGUCCGACACUGGAGCAUAACCAUGAGAUAUGAAAACUCUAUCACCGUAUUCUUAAGAGCAAUGUAACUAAAUUGUGUCCCCCCUAAAAAAAUCUCAGGCUCCAUCCCUAGAAGAAUAACAGUUGGGAGAAGCUGCAGCCAUAAGAUUAGCACUUAAUAUGACAGAAGGAGCAGGAUGGAGGAAGGUAGAAAUAUAGUGAGAUUGCAAAGAUGUUGUUGGCAGAACAUUGCCAAGUCCAGAACAUGAGCCAUCAUAGUUAAAGACAUAAGAGAGUCAGCUGCUACUUUUGACCUAGGUUCAUUUUCAUAUACUAAUAGGAUAUAGUAAAUGUAGUAAGUCGCAAACUUACAAAAUUUGCAUCUAAAUUAGCCAAGGAUGUAAAGUCGAAAUGAAACUUCCCGCUGUAGCUUGUAGAUCGAGCAGGCACAAGUAGAUAUGAGGGCAAUGGUCCGAAUUUAGAUUGCAAAAUCUUGAAUUAUCAAAUAUUAAUGAAUUCUAACUUUUGGCCAAAAAAAAAUGGAUGUGAGAUAAGAAAAGGAAUGGUUUUGAAGAUCAAAAUGUGAUUUUAACAAGAAGUUUAUGAAGGUUUCUAUUCCAAAUUAUGACCAAAAUCCAAACAAAUUAGUAUUUUUGGCAUAUUAUGUGAUUGUGCAUAUCUAACAAUGUGUUGGUAAUUAAUAUUGUUGUUGAAAUCCUAAUCCUACUGUUAUGACCUUGCGGUUCUACUAUUCGAAUUUAUGAAUUCGAUCCUGAUCUUCAGAUCAAUAGAGUUUGUAAAAUUAUAGUUACGUCACUAGAAGUUUUUGGAUUUAACUCUAUAUUACUUAAGCUAAGAAAUCUCUCAAUAAUUUGGAAUUUGAAAUCUUAUUUUACGAAUUUAGAUCAGUCAUAUUUAAUUUUUAAACAUUCAGGCACAAAGUAAAAUAGGGUCUAGAGUGACUUGAACUUUUAUGCUUUUAACAUAUAAUGUUAUAAAUUAUAUGUUUUAGUUAAAAAAAAAUCAUUUUUUAGUCUAAUAUUGCAUAUCCUACAUCUACCAUCUUUUCCUCGGCUACAAGUGUAUAAAUAACUAGGAUAUUGGUUUUUUUAUAGGUUUAUAUUUCAUAUAAAAUCUUAUGGUUCCACGAUUCUACCUACGAUAUGAUUGUUUUCUCUCUCCAAGACUCUCUCUCUCUUCUUUUUUUUAAAGCAAUUAUUUUUCCUCCACUUAAGUAUAACAGUCUUACAUUGAAAUUUUGGCUUCCCCACCAAAAAAUUUAAAAAAUAAAAAUAAAGAUGAUAUGCUUGUUUUUCUCAGCGUUACGAUAUUACCACAUGAGAGACCAUAUAACAUUUUUCUGUUCCAUUUGAGAAUAGGAAGAGUAAAAGUCUUAGAAACACCACUCCACAAAAAUCCUUGUAACAUGAGAAAAAAAGAUUUUCGACACAUUUUUUUUUAAAUUUUUUUAUCUCGCAUAUAUUAUAUUGCUAUUGUAUUUUUUUUACCAAAAAAAACCUCUAAAAACUUGCAAUCCAAACGAGUUCAAAUGAUUUUAAUACAUUUAUCGCUUUUUCGUCAAAGUUCUCACAAAUUUAUCAAACACUUUAUUGCUUGAAUUGACUUUGUUUUUUGGAAAAGACAAUCAUGCUUUUAGAUGCUCCAUUCUAUUGUAUUAGGUUAGCUGCAUUUACAUUUUCACGUCAAACAUACCAAGGAUAAAUCAAUCUUGAAAGAAAGCGGUAGUGUAAAACACAUGCAAGCACCUUUCUUCCUGUCUAUUGCGCUUUGUUCUCACCCUUACCUGCAUAAACUAUACAUUGCAUAUAUCUUUCUCUUUUGGAGUCCAACUUGCCUUUAUAGCUCUCUCUCUACUUUCAUACCCUGAAGCUUGUGCAUGGCAAAUAUCAGGCCUUCUGGUCCCCUUUUUAUAUAUUUCUUGCUGUACCAAAGGGCCUCUAAAUGAUAAAUCUUAUUCUCAUUGUGAACCAAAGUAUACCUCAAAAUUAGAAUAUUAGUACAACAAAUGCCUGUCAUUGAGGGUUGAGAAAAGCAUGAUAUGGCAGAAUGUCACGCAUUGACGGUAAGACAUGAGUAGAAUCUCAUCAAAGCCCUAAUUAAUCAGUACAGCAUGUUUGCCAAAUAAUUCCAAAAAAGUUUCUUAUUUCCCCCUUAAUCCCAUCAGACUAGCUCAGUUCAAACAAUAAUCUUCGAACACCCCAGGCUCCAU
rnacentral:lncRNA from 1 species